AACACGAAAGAUGCUCGUUGUUGUUGUUGACAGUUCUUAGACUUCAGACAAACAUUCCACGAAGGAUUACAUGUUUCUGACGCAUGAGUUUGGAGACGUAAGAUUAAAGAAAGGGAAUGCAUGCAGUAUGAUACAUGAUAAACACAUGGGCUUAGAAAGAUUGAUAAUCAGAAGGUGGGUAUGAUUUUCACAUAUUCAUGUCAUAUAAUUCG